UCAUGAAUGACGCCAAAACAAGGCCUCCAACGACCAUCAAACCUAACCUCAAAAACAAAGCAGUGAUUCCGAAAAUACUAGGCAAUGCGGGGGCUAAAAUUGCAAGAAAUGCCAUCCCUAACCCAUAGUAGCACGCAGCAAUGUCACAACAUGAUUGCUGCCGCUGAUGACCUUUUCCAGAUUCAUGGUCCAAAGAUGUAGAAUUGGCCCGAGAUUGUCCAGCUCGAUUUGCCACAGCUUUUCCCCAUUGAUAAACUAAGUACAAAUAACUUCCAAACUGAAGGAAGAAAAGUGUAAACGUCCACUCGUACAUCAGGAAAAGACCGGUCCACGGCAUUACUUGGCGGGGGAUAAUUACAAGUGAAA
rnacentral:misc_RNA from 1 species